rnacentral:rRNA from 1 species
UUGAACGCUGGCGGCAGGCCUAACACAUGCAAGUCGAGCGGUAACACAGAGAGCUUGCUCUCGGGUGACGAGCGGCGGACGGGUGAGUAAUGUCUGGGAAACUGCCUGAUGGAGGGGGAUAACUACUGGAAACGGUAGCUAAUACCGCAUAACGUCGCAAGACCAAAGUGGGGGACCUUCGGGCCUCAUGCCAUCAGAUGUGCCCAGAUGGGAUUAGCUAGUAGGUGGGGUAACGGCUCACCUAGGCGACGAUCCCUAGCUGGUCUGAGAGGAUGACCAGCCACACUGGAACUGAGACACGGUCCAGACUCCUACGGGAGGCAGCAGUGGGGAAUAUUGCACAAUGGGCGCAAGCCUGAUGCAGCCAUGCCGCGUGUGUGAAGAAGGCCUUCGGGUUGUAAAGCACUUUCAGCGGGGAGGAAGGCGGUGAGGUUAAUAACCUCACCGAUUGACGUUACCCGCAGAAGAAGCACCGGCUAACUCCGUGCCAGCAGCCGCGGUAAUACGGAGGGUGCAAGCGUUAAUCGGAAUUACUGGGCGUAAAGCGCACGCAGGCGGUCUGUCAAGUCGGAUGUGAAAUCCCCGGGCUCAACCUGGGAACUGCAUUCGAAACUGGCAGGCUAGAGUCUUGUAGAGGGGGGUAGAAUUCCAGGUGUAGCGGUGAAAUGCGUAGAGAUCUGGAGGAAUACCGGUGGCGAAGGCGGCCCCCUGGACAAAGACUGACGCUCAGGUGCGAAAGCGUGGGGAGCAAACAGGAUUAGAUACCCUGGUAGUCCACGCCGUAAACGAUGUCGAUUUGGAGGUUGUGCCCUUGAGGCGUGGCUUCCGGAGCUAACGCGUUAAAUCGACCGCCUGGGGAGUACGGCCGCAAGGUUAAAACUCAAAUGAAUUGACGGGGGCCCGCACAAGCGGUGGAGCAUGUGGUUUAAUUCGAUGCAACGCGAAGAACCUUACCUGGUCUUGACAUCCACAGAACUUAGCAGAGAUGCUUUGGUGCCUUCGGGAACUGUGAGACAGGUGCUGCAUGGCUGUCGUCAGCUCGUGUUGUGAAAUGUUGGGUUAAGUCCCGCAACGAGCGCAACCCUUAUCCUUUGUUGCCAGCGGUUAGGCCGGGAACUCAAAGGAGACUGCCAGUGAUAAACUGGAGGAAGGUGGGGAUGACGUCAAGUCAUCAUGGCCCUUACGACCAGGGCUACACACGUGCUACAAUGGCAUAUACAAAGAGAAGCGACCUCGCGAGAGCAAGCGGACCUCAUAAAGUAUGUCGUAGUCCGGAUUGGAGUCUGCAACUCGACUCCAUGAAGUCGGAAUCGCUAGUAAUCGUAGAUCAGAAUGCUACGGUGAAUACGUUCCCGGGCCUUGUACACACCGCCCGUCACACCAUGGGAGUGGGUUGCAAAAGAAGUAGGUAGCUUAACCUUCGGGAGGGCGCUUACCACUUUGUGAUUCAUGACUGGGGUG